rnacentral:rRNA from 1 species
AUAAAGCGUUAUGGGGCUGACGGUACCUGAGGAAUAAGCACCGGCUAACUUCGUGCCAGCAGCCGCGGUAAUACGAAGGGUGCAAGCGUUAAUCGGAAUUACUGGGCGUAAAGGGUGCGUAGGCGGUUGUUUAAGUCUGUCGUGAAAUCCCCGGGCUCAACCUGGGAAUGGCGAUGGAUACUGGGCAGCUAGAGUGUGUC